GAUGAACGCUGGCGGCGUGCUUAACACAUGCAAGUCGAACGAAGCGCUUUGAAGUCCUCGGACAGAGAAGUGACUGAGUGGCGGACGGGUGAGUAACGCGUGGGUAACCUGCCUCAUACAGGGGGAUAACAGUUAGAAAUGACUGCUAAUACCGCAUAAGACCACAGCACCGCAUGGUGCAGGGGUAAAAGCCGAGACGGUAUGAGAUGGACCCGNGUCUGAUUAGCUAGUUGGUGGGUAACGGCCUACCAAGGCGACGAUCAGUAGCCGACCUGAGAGGUUGAACGGCCACAUUGGGACUGAGACACGGCCCAGACUCCUACGGGAGCAGCAGUGGGGAAUAUUGCACAAUGGGGAAACCCUGAUGCAGCGAGCCGCGUGAGUGAAGAAGUAUUCGGUAUGUAAAGCUCUAUCAGCAGGGAAGAU
rnacentral:rRNA from 1 species